UUUUUUCCAAUGAAGGUGAAAGUGCAACCAUAUACUCGUUGAGAUGGCAAGGCUGGAGAAGCUCUAUAAAAUGCACACAUGUAUAAGGGGGUACAACCCAGAAAUGUUUGUUGUGCUGGAGGAGGUGACAGCACAACCACAUACUCGCUAAGAUGGCAAGGCUGUGCCAGGACCCAAGUAUGUGUUCUCUGAAGAAUUCAACACUGCAUCGUCGAUUCAGUUAAGUUUGAACGAGACAACUCUGACGCUCCUCCUGUCUCCGUACCGCUUCGCUAGUUAUGAAGAUCCGGAUGGCGUCCGAUCGGCAUCUAACGGCUGCGAGAGCGUCCUGUGUCGCUGUUGGCUUUCCGGCAAGCCUUCAGAGAGCCAACUACUCCAUUUUGCUUUUCCUUCUUUUUCCUCCAAGUUGUAAGGCUAUAAAGCCGUGUUUCUAAAACUUUCUGGGUAUCUCUCCUUGUAUUAGGGUUUCCCCCUUAGCCGCCAGUGUUCCUGGUUGGCCUUAGGUUCUUCUUGUAUCGCGCUAGAAACCCUGAAUUCGUCCAAUAAAGUAGCUAAGAUUUGCGAGUUUCAGCUAUUCUUUCUGAAUCCUAGUCUUCAGACCAAGUCGGGUCUGACAAGCUGGAGCAGCUCUGUAUUUCCAUGCAUGGGUAGCACUGUAGCAACUCAGAGAUCUAUUAUUUACAGAGUUGUUUCAGCGGAUAUUCUUAUGCUCAUACUGAUCAGGACAUCAAUCUAUAGUUGACUUCAGUUUGCAAAGAAGUUGGAAGCAGACUUCAGGACUUACAUAGUAUGUGGCAUAGCUGACUCUCUAGCUGCAGUGAUUGUUCUUGGCAAGGGGCAUGAGUUUACUGCUGACCGUUACACAUCCAGCACAUGCCCCCCAUACGGGCCUGAUCGGCUGCUGCGAGGUUUCUCAUUUUAUCAGUCAGUUCCAUCAGGCAAGGUCAGUGUCUCCCGCUUUGAGCCCAGCCCAGAAACGUGCGUGACUCCCGUUGGUGGGUUCAUGCUGUCAGUCCCCAUUACGGUGACCUAUUGACCCUUUCUCGUAGUCACCUUCGAUUCCGGUGACGGCACAUGGUGCGGCAGUUGGUGCUUGCGGCGACGCUGCUGGGGCCAGUGGGUGGAGUGGCACAGUCGCCGACGGAGAAGGAGCGACAUCCGCAGCGGCUGGCGCAAAGUCUUCGAGGAAAUUUCAUGGGCCUCAAUUUUUUUACUAGCUUCAGUGUUGAGUAUAACAGCUCAUGCUACAGUAGAAGAGUUCAAAGUAUAGAGGUGACAAAACAACGUUACAACUCUGGAACCUGACAGCAUAUCUCUCUGAACCCAGCUGUUUCAACUUAACCUAAUGCAUGAUCUAUCAAAAAAUGUGGACUUUGAAUGAGAGAGAACUUGCAGGUAAGAGAACAACUCGCUUUGAGAAAGUGAAGAGAUAGAACCUGAGAGAGAGAGAGAGAGAGAGAGAGAGAGAGAGAGAGAGAGAACAGUGUCAUUCUGAGAGAGUGCUAUUUUAGAGAGAACUUGAGUGUGAGAGUAUGAGAGAAAGCCUUUAUUUUCGUAUGUAAAAGAGAGCUUGUGCAGCAUAUGAGAGCGUGAGGAAAGAGAUAGCUUGUGUGAGAGAGAUUGAGCAUGCAUGUGACAGAGCUUUGGACGAGAGACAUGGACCUCAUACAAUAAUGUUUUUUUGUGCUGGGAGAUGCUGGGCAUUGUGAGGAAAAGAACAAAACCCCGCAGGUCUACUGCCGGCCACUGUUGCUAAUCGAGAGUUUAAGCGCCCCAUGUUCUCCUCGCAUCUCGAGAUGCACUACAGUGACGGAUGGCCAAGAUAGCAGGGCUCUGAAGCAUAUGCAUGAAAAAUCCGCGUCAAGUCGUGUCUCUAGUCGUGCUUGAGAACACUGCAACGACUCGGCUGCUUCUGAUCCUCAACCCAAAGGAGGACGUAGAACCCUCGUCCCACGAGCACACCAGGCCCUUUCCUGGAUGCCAGUUUCAAAUUUUCCAACUUG